rnacentral:rRNA from 1 species
AGAGUUUGAUCCUGGCUCAGGAUGAACGCUAGCUACAGGCUUAACACAUGCAAGUCGAGGGGCAGCAGGACGGUAGCUUGCUACUGUCGCUGGCGACCGGCGCACGGGUGAGUAACGCGUAUCCAACCUUCCCCUGAGUAGGGAAUAGCCCGGCGAAAGUCGGAUUAAUGCCCUAUGUUGUCCGACGAUAGCAUUUGAAUCGGAUGAAAGAUUUAUCGCUCAGGGAUGGGGAUGCGUCUGAUUAGGUUGCAGGCGGGGUAACGGCCCACCUGGCCGACGAUCAGUAGGGGUUCUGAGAGGAAGGUCCCCCACAUUGGAACUGAGACACGGUCCAAACUCCUACGGGAGGCAGCAGUGAGGAAUAUUGGUCAAUGGGCGAGAGCCUGAACCAGCCAAGUAGCGUGCAGGAAGACGGCCCUAUGGGUUGUAAACUGCUUUUGGAGGGGAAUAAAGUGGCGUACGUGUACGCCUUUGUAUGUACCCUCAGAAUAAGGACCGGCUAAUUCCGUGCCAGCAGCCGCGGUAAUACGGAAGGUCCGGGCGUUAUCCGGAUUUAUUGGGUUUAAAGGGAGCGCAGGCCGCCGAUUAAGCGUGACGUGAAAUGUCCCGGCUCAACCGGGGAGUUGCGUCGCGAACUGGUUGGCUUGAGUGCGGACGAGGUAUGCGGAAUUCGUGGUGUAGCGGUGAAAUGCUUAGAUAUCACGAAGAACCCCGAUUGCGAAGGCAGCGUACCAGGCCGUAACUGACGCUAAUGCUCGAAGGUGCGGGUAUCGAACAGGAUUAGAUACCCUGGUAGUCCGCACGGUAAACGAUGGAUCCCCGCUGU